rnacentral:rRNA from 1 species
GUCCACGCCGUAAACGAUGGGUGCUAGGUGUGGGGAGUGUCGACUCUCUCUGUGCCGAAGCUAACGCAUUAAGCACCCCGCCUGGGGAGUACGGCCGCAAGGCUAAAACUCAAAGGAAUUGACGGGGGCCCGCACAAGCAGCGGAGCAUGUUGUUUAAUUCGACGCAACGCGAAGAACCUUACCAGGGCUUGACAUGCAUGGGAAUGUCGUAGAGAUACGGCAGCCCUUCGGGGCUCAUGCACAGGUGUUGCAUGGCCGUCGU